rnacentral:misc_RNA from 1 species
AAAGUCGUAACAAGGUUUCCGUAGGUGAACCUGCGGAAGGAUCAUUACCGAGUUGUCUGUUUUUUACAGAUUUCUCCCACCCUUGUGUAUUUUGAUGCUGAUAAGCAGCUUCGGCGGGCCGUUUUUGGGAUUUAUUUGUUUAUUCCUUGGAGGAGACAGAGACGAGACCAAAAACAUCGGCCUUUAAAGCGGAUUUGUGUCCGCCGAAGGAAACCCAACUCUUGAUAAUUUUGAAGUCUGAAAAAAACUUGAUAAUAAAUCAAAACUUUCAACAACGGAUCUCUUGGUUCUG